CCUACGGGAGGCAGCAGUAAGGAAUAUUGGGCAAUGGAGGCAACUCUGACCCAGCCAUGCCGCGUGAAGGAUGAAGGCCCUAUGGGUUGUAAACUUCUUUUGUACGGGAAUAAACCUGGUUACGUGUAACCAGUUGAAUGUACCGUAAGAAUAAGCACCGGCUAACUCCGUGCCAGCAGCCGCGGUAAUACGGAGGGUGCAAGCGUUAUCCGGAUUUAUUGGGUUUAAAGGGAGCGUAGGCGGGAUUGUAAGUCAGUGGUGAAAGCCCGUAGCUCAACUACGGAACUGCCAUUGAUACUGCAGACCUAGAGUACACUUGAAGUGGGCGGAAUGUGUCAUGUAGCGGUGAAAUGCUUAGAUAUGACACAGAACACCAAUUGCGAAGGCAGCUCACUAAAUUGUAACUGACGCUGAGGCUCGAUAGCGUGGGGAUCAAACAGGAUUAGAUACCCUGGUAGUCCACGCCGUAAACGAUGAUUACUCGAUGUUGGCGAUACACUGUCNGCGUCUGAGACGAAGACGAGUUAAAGUUAAGUACCGACCGUACGGGUAAGGUACGGUACGGUUCGAAGACGUUAGAACGUAACGAAGAGUUAGUUAGACGGCGNGAGACGNGCGACGGACGACGACGAGGGAGGAGG
rnacentral:rRNA from 1 species